GAGGUGGGGGUAAAAUAGAUGCGUCUUGGGAUUUCCAUAAAACCUGACUCGUCCGUGCCAAUAGACGUGAUCUCAAUAAUAAUAGAAGGUCUUGAAUUUGACUCUCAACGAAGGCAGAAGUGUUUGGGUAACUUGCCUUUUUCCCCGAAGCAGAAGUCGGCCACCGCAAGCACUGUAGCAGCAAACACAGUUUUCUUGACGCUGACGCCUCUUCCCGAGUAGCCUCUAUCUAGUAACAAGGAUAUAGCUGAAGCAUAUACUGGUAGAUGGCUGGGAUUCCGGGAUUUAGCAGCUUUGCACCUAAAACAAAGAAUGUCAUAGUUGCUGGGGGCUUGACAUCUUUUGUCUUUGGUGUGUACUUCUACACCAUGAGAGCUGUUGGAGGUACAGAUGAACUACAAGUGGCUAUAGAUAAGUUUGAGGGAGACAAAGUCCAGAAACAGGCUGAAGGAAGCAUGCCCUCAAAGGUUUGAUUUAUAAUCAGUUUGUAAUAAUGUAGCUGAGAACAAGGUAAAAGUCUGUGAAAGACAACAUUGCAGCCCUUUAUUUACUUUUUUCAAAUCAAUAUGUGAUAUGUUCUUGGUAGUUAAGUUUGGUUGUGACCCUGUUAUAUGUGAGUUGCCAUCGAUCCAGAAACGCAACAUUGAUCGAGUUAUUUUUGGUUAACGUGCUACAAUUGUGUAUAUC